rnacentral:rRNA from 1 species
CGGAUAUCUAGGCUCUUGCAUCGAUGAAGAACGUAGCGAAAUGCGAUACUUGGUGUGAAUUGCAGAAUCCCGUGAACCAUCGAGUUUUUGAACGCAAGUUGCGCCUGAUGCCAUUAGGUUGAGGGCACGUCUGCCUGGGCGUCACAUAUCGAAGCAUCUUGCCA